UGAUAUUUUUCCCUUUUUAGGUGAGAGAAAGGCUUGAUGGAGAUCCCGCAUUUACGGCAGUUACUGUAGAGGCUGAGCGCAUCAGGAUUUUUAAUGAACACAUUGCCACGCUGGAGGCGUGUACGCAUGUGCAUUCAAAAUCCCACAAAAAGGCCAAAAAGGCGAAGAAACACAGAAAACGAUCGCGGUCACGAUCGCCGAGUGAGGAAUCUUCUCAUUCGGAAGAGGAGUACCCGAAAGAAAAGACUGCGUCACACAAAAAGAAACGGCACAAGCGGUCACGCUCCAAGUCACCCGUGUCAUCUGCCUCGGAAUUAGAACCGGAAAAGGAGGCCAGCUCUGCGAAAAAGAAAAAACAUAAGAAGAAAUCAAAGAAAAAGCGCCAACGCUCGCCUUCUGUUGAAUCUGAGGGCGAGAGAGGUUACAAGGAGAAGGAAGCCAAAGAGCUGGAUAGACGCGAUCGAGACAGGGAGAGAGAAGAAAAAAGUGCAGAUCGAAGCAGAGAAGCAGAGAAAGACAGGAGCCGUGACAGAGACAGGGAAAGGGACCAAAAAGAUAAGAAUCGAGACAGGGACAAGGAAAAGGACC